AGAAUUUGUGUAUUCAUGCUUAUUGAACUAGUAGGGGGAAAAUGUAAAAGACAGGUGCAAAAAAUGAAUCCUCUUGCAACCUAGAACUCAUUGUUCAGUAUGAGUUUUGAUACCUGUAAGAAGAAGAAGU